rnacentral:lncRNA from 1 species
AAACAAUUGAAACCACCACAUCUGAAACCUGUUGGAGGCCCUUUCGAAACACCUCCCUGGAUCUAAACACAUGCAAACACGUAAAUACAGGAAUGACAUCACGCUUUGCAUGUUGUUCUGCAAUCUGUUUUUUUUUAAUUUUCACUUUUAAUAAUGUAUAGCAAAUAUCUUCCCAACUUCCACUAAACGUUCUUCCAAAGCAUCAUAUUCAAUGGCCCCUUAGUAUCCGUUGUGUGGAUCUUUCAUAAUUUUCAUAACCAGCCCCCUAGGGUUGGACAUGGGUGUUCCCAAUUUUCUGCCAUGAUGAAGAAAAGUUCAGCGAACAUCCCUGUGUCUUGUCGCUUUUGAUGGCCUCCUGAGGACAAGUUCCUAGACUGGAGAUUCAGGAGCAAAAGGACGUGCCUUCCACAAAGCCUGUCCCCAUUUACACUUCCACUGAUGAUGCACAGAACUCUCCAAUUAACUACAUCCUCACUAAUGUUUUUGCUUUAGGGCAAUUGUGUAUUUAAAUUAUAUGUUUUCAUCUCUGCCUCUCUCUCCAGAGAUGAUCUGAUUUUGUUAGCUCCUUUUUGAAUUUCAGACCCUAGCACAAUACUUGGCUCAUGAUAGGGGCCAGCCCAGUGGCGUAGUGGUUGAGUUUGUGCUCUGCAUCGGCAGCCCAUGAGCCAGGCACUGUUCUGGAUCACCCGGCAGAGGAUGAAACAGUCACUGCCUUUGUGGGGCUGACAUUCUAGGGGGAGAAUAGAAUAGACAGAUAAAUGAGAAAAGCCUUAGAAAGUGGCAGAGGUGAGGGAGGGAGGAGGAGGUGCUAUUUUAUGUGGAGUGGCCAGGGAAAGCCUCUUUAAUCAUGAGCAGAGGCGAGCCCUGUGGAUGGAUCAAUGGGCCAGAGUCAUGUACUCCAGGCAGAGGGAACAGCAAGUCCAAAGGCCCUGAGGUGUGGAGGUGUUUGUCUGCUCAAAGAACAGCAGGGAUGCCAGUGUAGCUGAAAUGAAGGACGGGAAAGAAGAAGAGAUAAGCUCAGGCUGGAGACUUUCAGUGACUCGCCCAAGAUCAUGCAGCAGAAUCCCCAUCAUCUCCAUCAUCCCCAUCAGCCCCAUCAGCCCCAUCAUCUCCAUCAUCCCCAUCAUCUCCAUCACCAUCAUCUUCAUGGCAGCUAGCCUGUAUCGGUCACUCCCUGCUGGCCAGCUGCGUCUCAUUUCAUCCUCAGGGCCUCUCUGAGGUGGCCACUCUCAUUAUUUUCAUUUUACAGGUGGGGAAACAUCACAGAGCAG